rnacentral:rRNA from 1 species
UACGUAGGGUGCAAGCGUUGUCCGGAAUUAUUGGGCGUAAAGAGCUCGUAGGCGGUUUGUCGCGUCUGCUGUGAAAACUCAGGGCUUAACUCUGAGCUUGCAGUGGGUACGGGCAGACUAGAGUGCGGUAGGGGAGACUGGAAUUCCUGGUGUAGCGGUGAAAUGCGCAGAUAUCAGGAGGAACACCGGUGGCGAAGGCGGAUCUCUGGGCCUUACCUGACGCUGAGGCGCGAAAGCUAGGGGAGCGAACAGG